rnacentral:rRNA from 1 species
CCUACGGGGGGCAGCAGUGGGGAAUAUUGCACAAUGGGGGGAACCCUGAUGCAGCGACGCCGCGUGAGUGAAGAAGUAUUUCGGUAUGUAAAGCUCUAUCAGCAGGGAAGAUAAUGACGGUACCUGACUAAGAAGCCCCGGCUAACUACGUGCCAGCAGCCGCGGUAAUACGUAGGGGGCAAGCGUUAUCCGGAUUUACUGGGUGUAAAGGGUGCGUAGGUGGCAGGGCAAGUCAGAUGUGAAAGCCCGGGGCCCAACCCCGGUACUGCAUUUGAAACUGUCCGUCUGGCGGGCAGGAGAGGGAG